AUGUUUUACAACUUAAAAGUUGAGGGAAAACAGAACCGUGGAACUUCAGGUAUGAAACUGCAUGACGUUCAAAUAUAUAAAAAAAUUGCAUUUGAUUUGGUCUCGUCUUGCAUGCAGGCAACAUUUCUGUUCAGGGUCCUCAGCACCACCAGAUUCCUGGAUGUCCUUGCAGGCCAGCUCCCUAGGGAAUAUGAUGUGGUGUGUCAUGUAAAAAAAUCUCAGAUGUUAGUUAGAGAGAAAUCGUUGCUUUCCUAUAAUUCUCAUAAGUGUGGUCUCGUGAGUGUGUCAUGUACAAUUGUUCGUGUUUAA
rnacentral:rRNA from 1 species